rnacentral:rRNA from 1 species
AGGCAGCAGUAGGGAAUUUUCCACAAUGGGCGAAAGCCUGAUGGAGCAACGCCGCGUGAGGGAUGAAGGUCUUCGGAUUGUAAACCUCUUUGGAGUGGGAAGAACGAUUCCGGUGUUAACAGCGCCGGGAAGUGACGGUACCACUAGAACAAGACACGGCUAACUCU